GGGGGGACACGGGUGGUCGCUCGUCGAGCAGGCUCGGCGGGAGGAAAGUCCGGACUCCAAGGGCAAGGACGCUGGAUAACAUCCAGGCGGAGCGAUCCGACACCAGCACCACAGAAAACAAACCGCCGAUGGCCGCUGUUGGAGACCUUGGUUUCUUCCGGCGGCUCAGGUAAGGGUGAAACGGCGGGGUAAGAGCCCACCGCGGUGAUGGCGACAUCAACGGCACGGUAAGCGUCGUCCGGAGCAAGACCAAAUAGGGAGACGCCCGCGGGCUCGUAGAGCUCAGCGGAAAGGCUGGCCCGGCCGAAGUCUCCGGGUAGGUUGCUUGAGGCUUGAGGUAACUCGAGUCCCAGAGAAAUGAUCACCCCCGGGUGAGCGCAAGCUUCACGCGGGACAGAAUCCGGCUUAUAGGGUUUCUCCAACG
rnacentral:RNase_P_RNA from 1 species